rnacentral:rRNA from 1 species
AACUUUCAGCAACGGAUCUCUUGGCUCUCGCAUCGAUGAAGAACGCAGCGAAAUGCGAUAAGUAAUGUGAAUUGCAGAAUUCAGUGAAUCAUCGAAUCUUUGAACGCACCUUGCGCUCCCUGGUAUUCCGGGGA